UGGGUUGUGGCUCAGUGAUAGAGCACUUGCCUCACACCUAUGAGGCACUGGGUUCGAUUCUCAGCACUGCAU
rnacentral:tRNA from 1 species